rnacentral:lncRNA from 1 species
GGCUUGGUGAGAGAGAAAGGCUCCCCACGCGCGCGCCGCCGCCGUCCUGCCGGCGUGGGCUUGGACUUGAGCUGGGGCUUGGGUGGGCAUUUGGCCCGAUAAGAAUUAUUUUUUUUGGACCAAGUUAAGCUCAACGUUUUGCCAUUUAUUUCGGGAAAAAACAGCAUACAAUUUUAUUUAAAACGACAAGUAGUUUGUCUAGAAAAUAAAAACGUCAUGCAUUUUAUCCUCUCGAAAGUUUAAAACG